UUGUUUGGCUAACACCGCAUUGUUGUUGCCUAUUUUCAGCUUGCUUAGGUACUGAGCCAAAUCCAGGAUUUCCUAGAAGAGGGAUUUUCAGGUAUCUGUAUAGGAGAGAUUUGCUUCUCUUGUGGUGCAAGUUCAAGCAUAUAUUCAGCUGAACUGCAGUAGGUGCUGCCCCAGAACUGCAGCAGGUGGAAUCCCCUAUUGUAGUGAAGCAAAAUUCCAUGCAUCAACAGUCUGCUCAGCAUGCAUUGAUGUCAGCUGGAGCGAAAGAUGCAGGUGCUCAUGACAUCACUAUUCAGCAUAUGCUGGCCAGGUGAAAGCAGAAGCCCAACAGCAACAACAAAAUUCAUCUAAUGAUUUGAACUUGGAACCUGCUACUAAUUUUGGAGUAAAUAAGAGUCUCAUGAAUGAGAUUUCAACAUAGAGUGUGGAUGGUCUUGUUUCGAUAAGUACUGUUAAGCUAAAGCUACGGAAGCAGAAGCUACAUGCUUUCUUGCAAGGAAGAAGUAGAAGAUGAGUGCGGAUCCAAUCCCUUCUUCGAACUCCCAUAGCCAGCUCGAUGGGCAGAUUUCUCAGCUCAUGCAGCGCAAGCCCCUCUCCGAGCAAGAAGUAGAGACGGCUGAGACUGUAACGUGCAUGAAUGAACCAGGUUGGAUCCCUGGAUGUCUUACUCUUGCCUUGUAAACCUCACUUGGUAAUUUUUAAAAAAGAAAAAAAAAAGUGCUCAUCUUGUUCAGGCUAAGGCUCUUGAGUGGGAUUUGGAAUGGGUCAGGCCCAUCUCAGCUUGGAAGGUGGGUAGGUAGCUGAAAGCCCUACCAACUGUCAUCCAUGAUUUGCCAGUAAACUCUAAAUGCUACCUAAAAAACAGAAGAAUAGUUCUCUUAUAUGUUUGAAUAUUUUCAAAUCUUUCAUGAUUCCACAGGCAAUUAUUCAUCCAGAAGCAAUCAUUUUUAAAUAUUUGAUUUGUUAGCUAGUAUAGGCAACCUUUAUUGGGGAAUGUAAUGCAUCAUGAAUGCCAUGAAGUUGGAAGUUGCUAUUGCUUGUACAUUCUGGAUUUGUUUUUUAAAAUGAAUUAGCAAUAAAUGAUAACUAACACUAAUUUCUGAACUAAA